GUUUCAUUUCUCAUUGAUCGGGAAAGUUGUACAGGUAUACCGGUAUGUUAUGAAAAAUUCGCGGUUAUGACACGUUCCCGAGCAAGUAGCACCUUUAAUUUUUGAAUUGGUCUCACUCUAGGAUGACCUGUUUGAUGAAAUCUUUGUAGUGGAUGCCGGAGGUUCAAGUUUAUGACCAUCCCCAUCGAAAACUAGCACUAUUGGUGAAUGAUGAAACUGUCACCAUUUCUGUGAAGGUUGCACAACAGCUAUUAAGGAAAAUGUUUGGCGUGAACUGGCAUUUUAACUUCUCAGCCUUCAUACUCCAAAGAACUCUAGGCAUGCAGAGAUAGCAUUACCAGUGCCACAUUUGUAAAAAAAAAAAGGAGAAAGAUCGAAUCUUGGGCAUUACUGGCAGUGUGAGAGACGUGACGAAAAUGAAAUUCAACAAAUUCUUGCCUGUGACGAGGACUCGUCUAACGCGAAGGAGGGGUUCAGGGAUGCUGGUACUUGCAUAUUUAUGGACAUUGUUUUCAUUAGUGAGGACCCAGAGCGGGGGUAUAAAUCUGAACCCGGUGUGUGAAAGAACGCUUUCCGAUGGAACCGUAGAAUAUCUUGCUUGUUCUGCAGGCUCAGAGGACCUUUCACUGUUGGACUUGUCAGUCUCUGUAGAUCCAGUCAAUUCUACGUGUGGACUCAGUUCUGAUGUGAACAGACUGAUAUACAGUACUUUGGAUUACAAUGUCUUCGUAUGUGAUGCCUCAAACGCCUCCCUUGCGCACCCUCCGGAGUACAUCAUAGACGGUGAUGACCGAGACUCGCCAACAUGGUGGCAGUCCACAUCGUGGUACGACUUCCCGCAGCCCCUGGAAAUCAACGUCACCGUAUCUCUGGACCAUUCUUAUACCCUGGUAGACAGUAUAGAGAUAAUCUUUCAGUCGGCACGACCCCAACAAAUGAUAUUGGAGAAAUCCAACGAUAGAGGUGCCACGUGGGAAACGCUCCAGUACUAUUCCAGAGACUGCCUUGAAGACUUCUCCCUCGAUGAUACCCGGGAGUCCGACAUCAAAGAUGUCUCGCAGGUCAUCUGCACAUCAGAGUAUAGCGGAAUCUUGCCCUACAGGAAUGCUCCUGUUAAGUUUGACGUGGAGGAACGUUUGGCUCUUUUGUUUUCUGAUGGAGUCUCGCCAGCGCUUCAAGUUGAGGCGUAUCAGAACGAUACCGAAUUCCGUGACCUUUUGACCCUUACAGAUCUGCGUCUGCGGUUGUUGCGUCCUGCCACAGAUGGAUUAGAAUAUCCAGGAUAUUUUUUUUCUCUCAGCAAGUAUUAUUAUGCCAUAUCGAACAUUCAAUCUUUCCUCACGUGCAACUGCAACCAGCAUGGUCGCUUCUGUGCCCCCUCCCCCGAGAGCGGGGAUGUCGUCUGUGAGUGCUUCCAUAACACCAUGGGAACAAAUUGUGAGCAAUGUCUGCCGCUCUACAACGAUCGUCCAUGGAAGGCAGGAUCCUUUACCCCUUUCCCCACGGGAACACCCAAUGAGUGUCAAAAGUGUACUUGUAACGAUCACGCCGCCAGCUGUAUCUACAAUGCCACGCUUGGGUACGGCGUCUGCCAGGACUGCUACGACAACACGGCGGGCGAUUUCUGCGACAUCUGUGUGGAUGGGUUCUUCCGUAACGAGUCUCGUGAUAGGAGUGAUCCUGAUGUUUGCAUUGAGUGUAACUGUGAGCAACUAGGAACUGUUGACAACAAUACAGUCUGUGCUCAGUUUGCUGAUGAUGCAACAGGCUCUCCUAUUGGUCAGUGUCCGUGCAAAGGAAAUGUAACCGGGAGAGCUUGUGACCAAUGCGUGGACAGCUUCUAUGGACUUCUUACAGAGCCUGACCCUGGCAGAUGUAGAGAAUGUGGAUGCAAUGUGCUAGGGACAUUGAAUGCCACAGAGUCCUGUGACCAGACCAGUGGCCAGUGCUUCUGUAAGGCCAACACGGACACCAGGACAUGCGGAAUGUGCAAGGAUCAGUUUUAUGGCUAUCCCACUGAUGCCAACGAAGACUGUUCCCCCUGUGACUGUGACCCUGGGGGCGCUAUAUCAUUGACCUGUAACAAGGUGACUGGUCGGUGUGAUUGUCGAGGGUUCACUGGAGGCCGGACAUGUACGAAUGUGGAGAGUGGAUACUAUUUUCCUUAUCUUGAUGUUAAUAGUCAUGACGCUUGGGAGGCCAAUUCAAGCUGCGUCCAUCGAUCUGACUUUCCAUCCGAUGGUUUCUCAGGUCUGGGCUAUCUGGAGUGUGGUGUCGGUGAUAGGAUCCUCUUCAACGGGAUCAGGGUGUAUUCCAACGUUACAGAAAGAAUAUCAAGCUAUCUUGUUCUUCGUUACACUUACGUCUCCCAAUCGCCUUGGCUGAUGGCCGCCCUGCGCAUCAUCGUAGAAGCUACGGAGGACACCGCCCUCUCUUGCCCGUACCCUGCUGGCGAUGUGAUCGCAAGCCCUGCCUUCUCCCUGCAGCCUGGCGAGGGUGUUGCAUGGUCUUCGGAGGAGCCCUAUGGCUUCCAUCAGGGUUGUUCCUACUCUGCAGCGUUUGAACUGGACAGUGCAGGGCUAGGAGCGAAUGCCAUUGUGAUCGACGCUCUUGUUCUCAUUCCUGAUCCAAGUUCUUCUACUGUCUAUAGGAUCGGCGAUCCAGUAGAGAGAGGAUUUUAUGAAGACUGCCUUCGAGAUAUUUCAGCCUACUCCAAUCGUUCUCGUGCCCUUGAGGCCUGCCGGCCAUUCACCUACUCGCUCAUGAUGGAAAUUGUCGGAGAAGCACAAAAGUGCAGUUGCAAUGUAGAAGGCUCCCUUCCCCAGACGGUUUGCUCCACCUAUGGAGGGUCUUGCUUGUGUAAGCCUGGGGUCGGAGGUCAAAACUGCGAUAGGUGCCUGCCGGGCUUCUUCAACUUUACCUCCAGUGGUUGUCAAGCAUGCAACUGUGAUCAAAAUGGAUCAAUCACCCAGGCUUGUGAUUUCAUCACCGGUCAGUGCCCCUGCAAAUCGGGCGUGGCCUCGGAGGGCCAGACCAGCCACCUCGGCCUUGCCAGCGACAGACGAUGCAGUGCCUGCCAGGAGAACUUCUUUGGGUUCGGUAACCCUGAUGGCUGUGGUGCUUGCGGAUGCCAUCCCCUAGGAUCUUUGGAUUUGCAGUGCAGUGAGGACGGGGUGUGUCGAUGUCUGGAGACGGUCGGUGGGGAGAAGUGUGAUAGCUGCCUGCAAAGCUUCUACAAUCUGACCUCGGAAGGUUGCAGCGCUUGUGACUGUAACAUGGCAGGCUCCCUCACCUCCGAGUGCAACUCCAUCACCGGGGUCUGCUCGUGCAAGACUAAUGUAGAGGGGUCAAAGUGCGAUGGGUGUCGCCCAGGGUUCUUCAACCUGGACGAUGCAAACCCAGAAGGAUGCCAGCCAUGCUUCUGCUAUGGUCAUGGAACGAGCUGCAACGCUGCACCAAACUAUGUCCUGGACUUUGUGAGAUCUGACUUUACACAGGGAAGUACCAACGGAUGGAGAUUGUCAGACCCUUCAUCCUUGAACAUCAAUCCGACAAACAUCCGGGUAUCUCACCCGCCCUCCUUGCCCAGUGGGGCGUCCGUGUAUCUGAUCGCCCCCGAGGAAUACCUUGGAUUCAAGCUCAGUUCCUACGGCGGGUCCUUUCGCUUCACCUCCAAGAUAGAAGUAGGAAGCGCAGACCAGUCUUCUAACAGGUAUUUGGUGUUGACGGGUGGACCACAAAACACCAGUAUCUUCUACGCCGCGGAGGAGUUUGUCCCGACGGACCAGCCUUCAGAAUUUACAGCGACGUUUUAUGAAGGGAUGUGGCGAACUACAGAGACAGGAAGUGAGGUCACUGUGCUUCAGUUUCAAGAAAUACUGGCUGACGUCACCAGUAUUCAAGUUCGGGCAUCGUUUGGUCCAGGAACGGUUAGCACAUUCUUUGAUGUUUCCAUGGAAACGGCAUCAUCGGUCUCAAGUUCUGAAGAUGCGAACAAUGAGUUUGUGACCACUGUAGAACAGUGUGUCUGCGACACUUCUUCAAAUACCAUGGGUCUAUCAUGCAGCAGCUGUUCAAGUGGUACGAAGCGCCUGACUCCGUUUGGGCCCAAAACGGACAUCUGCGUGCCCUGCUUCUGCAACGGCCGUUCCUCGGCGUGCGACCCUGAUUCGGGCGUCUGCAUGGGCUGCCGUUCGGGCACGGUUGGGGAUCUCUGUGAAAGCUGUGCAGAUAAUGUCCAGGAACCGAACUGUGACCAGUGCAUCCCGGACUAUUACGGAUUUGGAACUGAUCUCUUUGGUGGAGCCUGCUCAGCCUGCGGGUGUAACACCACCGGAACGGGAGGAGCCACUCAGUGUGACAACGACAGCGGCCAAUGCCCCUGUGUCGGCAACUUUGGUGAACAACGUUGUGAUGGAUGCGCGUACAACUACUACAACUACGACUCUGGUUGCUUGAAAUGUGAUGUGUGUUAUGACGGUAUCGAGACAACUCAUCUCAGAUUGCUGGCGUUGCAGCGUAACCUGUCUCAGUUUGUAUCGGACCUUGAGGAGAGAGACAACUCCUCCAUACCCGAACCCUUCUAUCAGCGACUGCAGGAAACCAACGAUCUUCUGGCUGAUCUUGUGGAUGCUACCAGCUCAACAAUACAGGAAGGUUCCAAUCUACAAAGCACCAUUGCUGCACUCAUCAGUGUCAUGGAAGCUUUGAUAUCAACACUAGAUGGCGCUGUUCAAAAUGAUAUCAUGUUUGCCCAAGGAAAUGCCUCUGCUGCUCAGGAGAAUGCUCAACUUGCCUUAGAAGCCAUUGGUGUGGUGAAUGUCGACUUAACCGUUGCUUAUGAAACCCUUACAAGUGGUGAUUUCCAAGCUGCCCAGACCAUUCUUGAAGGACUGAGAGAUGACCUAAUGAGACAAGCCGUCUCAUUGGAGGAGGUUAGGCAACAGACAGCCAAUCAGACGGCUGCAUUGGAACAGGAUGUGGCGCGUAUCAGGGAAUUGACCCAAGAGACGAUUCAAGCAGCAGAUGAACUGCUAGAGACCGCCCAAACAGCUCAGGUUAUUCAUGACAAUACGACCUCAAGGACAGCCACAGAGGUCACCCAUGCCAACAGCGUUGCAACCCUUGCCGAAGAAACCCUAGAUGAUGCUGAAGAGUUGCUUGGAAGUGCUCAAGAUCUCGAUGACUCUGCCAAGCAGAAGGUGGCCGACGUGGAAGCGGCACGCACGUCUGUGGAUGAUGACAGGAUCGAUCUUCUGAUGACGGAUGCCUCCGUGAAGACAGGUCAAGCAGUGUCUUUGACAGUUCAGGCCGAUUCCAAGUUAUCUGAUGCCCAGAACACCAUCACCACCGUCGAGGAGGCCCGCAUCACUACGGAGAACACUCAGCUUGAGGUAGACGCCACGGUUGCUGAAGUCAUGGACCGGUAUGACAGAGCAGCAGAAGCUAACCGGGACUCUUCUGACUCUGUCAUGCUCUCUCAAGAUACUUUCAAUGCUGCUGAAGAAAUGCUAGUUGUCUCUUUGAAUUUUGACGCCCAGUCAAAUGUUGCACAGUCUGAGGCUUUCACUGCAGUAGAGCAGAUACCAGAAAUAAAUCGGAUUGCUAAUGAGAACUUGGCAGAGUCAGGGCAAUUGAGGGCUCAGGUCAGCGGAGUAGGAAGUACAGCAAGUGAAGGGUCAAGGGUCGCCGCUGAAGCAUUCACUGUUGUGAACAAUGAAGGACAGACUGUCCUGCCAAUCCAUGAAAGAGCGGAACAACUCUACACGGAGGCAGCGAACCAACUGACAGACACGGACCAGAUUACAGAGUCCUUGAACCAGCUAGACCAGGACCAGAUCCAGCCCUCACUCCAAGCAUGUGAUGUAUUCCAACCUGACAUUGAUGAUCUAGAGGCAUCGUAUGAUCAAGUUUCAGCCAAAGCUGAUGAAUCGGCCGUGUCCACUUCUGCCAAUCAGGGAAGACUUGAAGCACUCCUGCAGGAAGUUGCAAACAUUGAGCAGGUGGAUACCAGCCAGUUACCGGCUCUCCAGGAAAGGCUCCGGGAAUCCGGGGAGCUCUUCUCCAUGCGGGACUACGCUGCAAUUGUCGCGGCACUUCAGCAGGGACUUGCCCAGCAAGGAGCAUGGCUAGAAGAUACGAGGACUGUGAUUUCAGAACUCCAAGCACAGAUUGACGCCUUGGAGAGUUUCAAUGUCAAUCCGUAGAUAUGCACAUUUAUGCUGUCGAUGAUGCUUCCGCUCCUUCUCCUCGCCAUGGUGUUUUGAUAUGGCGGGGUCUCCUUUUGUGAGGUACAAGCAAUCAUGUAUUGGCUUUCAUGCCAUGUCAUAUUCAAAGUAGAUCAUGUAGUGUAGUAUUCAUAUUUUUAUCAAAACCCAUGUAUGUAUGUGCCACACGGGCCAAUAUCUUAAUCUAAAGAACGAGGUAUUUAGGUUAAUAAUAUGGAGGGGGAGUUCUUAAUUUAUUCAUAAUUUUUCAGAUGUUAAUCUUUUCCCUGUAGGACUUUUUAAAAUACUUUCUUUCUAAAUGAAAACGUCACUUUCCUAUGUGCUUUUUGUGUGUUUUAGGGAAUGUAAUAUUUUUAAAAGGCUAUAUCCAUGUGCUCCUGAGCCAGAUUACCAAAUUGUUUUUCAUGGCACGAUUGUCAAACAUAUCGUUUGAUCAAAUCUAUUUUCUAGAACUAAGUUGCAUUUUUAAAUUGAAUCUAUUUAACCUUACAAAUAGCUUUCAUUUAGUUUCCUUUUCUCUUGUCUGUGUCAUAGUUUUCACUGAUGGCUAUAGAGCAGAUUCUAUGAUGGAAUGAUUUCCAAAUUUUUAAGUGCUGUGUAGAUGCAUAUGUAUUUUCUAGUGUAAAGAAAUUGUUUGUUUUGCCAAUAUUCUUGCAUUGUUUGUGUACACUUAUGUGUAUACCGUAUAUAAAGAGAUAUUUCAGAGAGCAUGGGGCACGGUUCGUGGAUAUAUUUACAGUUGUACAUGCAUAUUCAACCAGGGUUGCUACUGAAAACUUCCUAGUCUAACUGAAAAUGAAAAAAAAAUAAGCAUCCGGAUAAAGAAUGCAUAGAGCUUAAAACUUGUAUAUACUUUUUAUUAUGGAAAUAGAUUUGACAUUUAUUAUGUGGAAGUAUAAUGAUAAAUGCUCCAAAUAUUGGGAUAUUAUAUGGUAUCUGGUCUUUUAUUUACUGUGUGUGCUACACAUUUUAUUUUGUUGUGUUGGAUUGGUGGUUUGCUUUGCUGAGCAGACUUAUUGUUCAAAUCAAAGGAAAAAUAAGAUUUAUAACUGUAUUUAUUAUUUUCUGCUUAAUUUUUGUGUGUGUCUACAUCUUCUAUAUGCUAGAAAAGAAACAUCUUAAAGAAGGCUGAAGUAAAUGUUACAUGUAUAAUAAUGUAAAUAAUUAAUCAUUCUAAUGCCAGAGUAAACUAAAGGAUGCCUCACUUAGAAGCUAAGACGAUUUUGGAUUCACCAAAUUUUCUGACUUGUGCUGCAAACACUUUCACAAAUUAAUAUAGAAGGAGCCAUGUGCAAAUCAAUAACUUCAACAACACUGUUUUACAAUCAACUGCUAUUAAAGUCCAACUGUUUUGCUCAACAUGUGGCAACUGUUUAUUUAAAAAAAAACGGAUUCACUAGAAUUUUUACCAGCAUAUAAAUUUCUUUGCAAUAAGAAACAAUAGUUUGCGACAGUGAAAUACUGUUUUCAAACUUUCUUCCAACCUUUUACAAAUCUUCAACAAUCUUCGCAAAAUCCUAAAAUACUCUAUAUUCAAGCAUUUGCGGCUCAGUGAGAUAUCCUUUUUGUUAGUGAUUGUAGUGAUUAUGGUUUGAUGAUUAUAUGAAAUCUUAUAAAAUUGUGUCCUGAUAUAACCAAUCUUGUCAUGAAUUCCAAGGGCUUCUUGCCUGCUUUUUGGUACAUUCCAUAUUUAGACUGUCCUUUAAACACUGUACAGAUCCCAGUGUUGCUGAUUGUUAUCAUGCCAUAAAUAAUUUUGCAAUAAAGUUGUGCUAAAUUGUAGACAAGUAUUGAACAUUUAUAUGCAAACAGGUAGAGCUUUGAUUGAAGUAUUGAAAUACAUGGAAUAGUACUGUUAUAUAGUCAUUUUUAAGUUGAUAGAUAUUUGAGAUUUUCAUUUAUUCCCCCCCCCCCUUGUGUGACAGUUCUGUAUUACAUGUAGCCUGCUCAGGGUAGGAAGUAGUUUUUUAUUUUUUUUAUUUUAGGGGCUAUUAUUUAUGUCACAUUUGGGGCUAUUACUGAGUUUUGGGGCUAGUUUAUUUGAUUUCAAGGGCUAGUUUUUGUGUUCAACAAGCAAUACAUGUAUGUUGAAUGUAGAAUAAUGGUUUUUCUUUUUUGAAUAUUGUUUAUUGCAAUAUUCAGGCAACCUUAGACAAGAUGGUUGCCCCAAAGCAUUCCAUUUUGCAAAUUUUAGGGGUCAUUUUGUCUGUCAUGCCAUUCAUUUAUAAAUUCAUUCAUUGUGAUCAUAAAAAGAUAGCACUUUAAUAGUUGUCCCUUAUAUUUAUUUGUGCUUGAAUUGAAAGGGUUUAUUAAAAGAUCUAACUCAUUUUUCUAUUCUUCAUCAAAGGUGACCAUUAGAGGUGGCACAUAUGUUUAUUAAUUUUAAAUGUAUAAUUUUCAUUUCAAUAUUUU
rnacentral:misc_RNA from 1 species